AACGAACGCUGGCGGCAGGCCUAACACAUGCAAGUCGAGCGCCCUCGCAAGAGGGAGCGGCGGACGGGUGAGUAACGCGUGGGAAUUUUCCUCAAGGUACGGAACAACUCAGGGAAACUUGGGCUAAUACCGUAUGAUGUCUAGCGACCAAAGAUUUAUCGCCUUGGGAUAAGCCCGCGUCAGAUUAGGUAGUUGGUGGGGUAACGGCCUACCAAGCCUGCGAUCUGUAGCUGGUCUGAGAGGACGAUCAGCCACAUUGGGACUGAGACACGGCCCAAACUCCUACGGGAGGCAGCAGUGGGGAAUCUUGCGCAAUGGGCGAGAGCCUGACGCAGCCAUGCCGCGUGAAUGAUGAAGGUCUUAGGAUUGUAAAGUUCUUUCGCCCGUGACGAUGAUGACGGUAACGGGAGAAGAAGCCCCGGCUAACUUCGUGCCAGCAGCCGCGGUAAGAC
rnacentral:rRNA from 1 species